rnacentral:ncRNA from 1 species
UCCGAGCAGUGUGGAUAAUGAUCAACGUCACUUUCUAACUCUAAAUUAUAUGCCGGUCGUAAGGUACGCCGGGGAUAACAGGUCAGAUACUAGUGGGAGUUCUAAUCGUCGGAUGGUAUCAGCACCUCCAUGUCAGCUCAUUAAUCCCUUGUUACUGAACAAGAUUCAGUUAGGAACGAUAGGUCACCGUCAGAUGUAAUACGUGAGCUGGGUUAAGAACGUCUGGAGACAGUUUGUUC